rnacentral:SRP_RNA from 1 species
GCUGUGCAUGGUGACACAUGCCUGUAGUCCCAGCUACUUGGGAGGCUGAGGCAGGAGGAUUGCUUGAGUCCAGGACUUCGAGGCUGCAGUGAGCUAUGAUUGCACCACUGCACUCCAGCCUGGGCAACAGGGCAAGACCCUGACUCAA